UUCAUCGUGAUGGGGAUAGAUCAUUGCAAUUGUUGGUCUUCAACGAGGAAUGCCUAGUAAGCGCGAGUCAUCAGCUCGCGUUGACUACGUCCCUGCCCUUUGUACACACCGCCCGUCGCUCCUACCGAUUGAAUGGUCCGGUGAAGUGUUCGGAUCGCGGCGACGGGGGCGGUUCGCCGCCCCCGACGUCGCGAGAAGUCCAUUGAACCUUAUCAUUUAGAGGAAGGAGAAGUCGUAACAAGGUUUCCGUAGGUGAACCUGCGGAAGGAUCAUUG
rnacentral:rRNA from 5 species